rnacentral:lncRNA from 1 species
CUGUGAUGAUCACUAUGACCAAGCUUAUAGGCUCUUCUCCAACCAUUUCCUCUUCUUCUACAACUCUUUUUUGAGGAUACUGAAUAUCUGUAUCAAUCAUUGAAUUAUCAACAUACUCCUUAAAUAACUCAUCAUCCCCAUUAAAAUACAGAAAGUCACUCAAAGAUAGACUACCAUCACUAUUGAAACUGGUUGUAUGAUACUGUU